CAAAGACAGACUUUGGUCUGUCACAGAGAAGUCUCCUUGUUCUGUUUUGUUUCAGAGAAGUCCAAACAUCUCAGGAACCCUGAAGCAGCAGAGCAGAAAUGUGCAGCAGGAUUAACACCAGCCGCUCGGACAGCGCUGCAGAAGCAGAAAGGCCUUGAAGAUACAGAGGCUGCGUCCGGUUCCUCGGGGGGUAAUUAACCUAGAAGAGUCCUCAGAACGCCGUUUGUCCCUCCAAAACGCCCCGCUCUGCCAGGACGGCAUGGCUGAGAGGGAUUAUCCAGGAAACCGCGCACGAGUGGUUUUCACCGCAGCGAGACGAAAGAGAAAGGAUGGAAGGACCAGCUGAGCUGUGAGGGGAGAAAGAGUGAUGGCUUCAAACUCUGCAGGGAGAAGACCGAAUAAAAGGGAAGUGCUGUGUGACAUCCUAAUCCGGCUCCAUGAAACCAAACAUGGAGCUUCUAUCCAGCCUGCAGUUUAGCCACGUUUUUGUUACCAUGUCAUGAAAAAGAGCGGGAAAUGAGACCAGAGAAAGGGAUCCUGCAGAAACAAGCACAAAUAAAACU